rnacentral:rRNA from 1 species
UACGGAGGGGGCUAGCGUUGUUCGGAAUUACUGGGCGUUAAGCGCACGUAGGCGGCUUUGUAAGUUAGAGGUGAAAGCCCGGGGCUCAACUCCGGAACUGCCUUUAAGACUGCAUCGCUUGAAUCAUGGAGAGGUUAGUGGAAUUCCGAGUGUAGAGGUGAAAUUCGUAGAUAUUCGGAAGAACACCAGUGGCGAAGGCGACUAACUGGACAUGUAUUGACGCUGAGGUGCGAAAGCGUGGGGAGCAAACAGG